UACAGAGACCUCAAGCGUUAUCCGGAAUCAUUGGGCGUAAAGCGUACCGAUAGGUGGUUUUGCAAGUCAGAGGUGAAAUCUCCGAGCUCAACUCGGAAUCUGUCCUCUGAAACUGCACAACUAGAGGGGCAAAGAGGAAGCUGGAACGAACGGUGUAGUAGUGAAAUGCGUUGAUAUCGUUCGGAACACCAAUAGCGUAGGCAGGCUUCUGGGUGCCACCUGACACUGCUAGGACGAAAGCGUGGGUAGCGAAUGGG
rnacentral:rRNA from 1 species